UGUGUGUGUGUGUGUGUGUGCAGGAUGUUAAGCAGAUGUUUGGUGAAUGCAGACUCAUUUCAAACAGCUGGAAGGAGCCUCUUCUGGUUGUUGCUCCUGUCCAGCUCAACAACAGAGACGUUGCUGAUUCCAGCCGUUUCCAUGCAGUGCAGCUUGUUUGAUAGGUAAACUGUCUCAGCGCUGAGCUCCACUGCUUUCAGAAUACAUCUGGACUUUAAAUCAGGCUCUGCAACAACCAGCCAGUAUUAGAUUAAGAAUAACAGUUAUUCCUAACGGUAAGGAAAGGUCAUUUUAUUUAUAUAGCACAUUUUCAGCAACAAUUCAAAGAGCUUUACAUGAGUUAAAAGGAAAUACAAACAAAAUAACAAACCAAAGGAAAGAAAACUAACCUAAUGUUGUUCUAAAGUGUGUAAAGUAAGUUCUCCUGUUCAGGGUUGCUAAGCAUCUAAUUCCAUUUCUAAAUAGUGAAACUACAGUUUCUGAUAAAAUGAGCUAAAGAGUGACUGAUCUAAAUCCUGUUCUGGGUUAAAGUGAGAACUCCACAAUUCUAAGUUUGCAAAACUAAUAACUUGAUCAUUUGUAUGUCUAGAAAUAAGCAAAAAUAUUCAGUAACCUUUCUGUCAGUUUUGUUCAAGUAUUCACAAAAAAAAAAUUCUGCUGUUCAUGAAGUUUAAGUAGAAGACUAGAAAAUUCCUGCAGAAAUUUUAAGGUGCCUGCCAAGUGUGCCCACCACUUUAACCCCAGCAUUUCAAAUUUGCCAUGAAAAAUAGAUAUAUGCAUGUCUAACAUACUUAUCCCACCACUAGAACACAGUAACCAUAAAUAUUGUCAGGUGUAUUAUGACAAUAUGAGUCACCAUUGAGAAGCAGGGUAUAAACCCCAAGUCAGUGAAAUUCAAUCUGAGACCGACGACUAUAAGCUUCGCACAUGUGGUUCUUACUCAUGGUGAGUAAUAUUGUCUUA